rnacentral:lncRNA from 1 species
AUCACUUAUCAAAGAACUUCAAUUUUGAAUACUUUGAUCAAUUUUUUUGAUCUGGACUGUAGGAUCAACUCUUUGAUCAGCAGCCUUCUUCUUUUUCUUCUUGAUCUGCGAUCUCUAAGUCUCCAACACUACUUUUAAGCAUAUGGAAGAGAGACACCCAAUCUUUGGGCAUGGAAAGGAAGAGAGAGGAGAGGAGGCAUGGAGAGGGGGAG